CCUACGGGGUGCAGCAGUGAGGAAUAUUGGUCAAUGGCCGGGAGGCUGAACCAGCCAAGUCGCGUGAGGGAAGACGGCCCUACGGGUUGUAAACCUCUUUUGUCAGGGAGCAAGGUGCAGGUCGGGACCUGCUGUGAGAGUACCUGAAGAAAAAGCAUCGGCUAACUCCGUGCCCGCAGCCGCGGUAAUACGGGGGAUGCGAGCGUUAUCCGGAUUUAUAGGGUUUAAAGGGGGCGCAGGGGGGGGCACAAGUCAGCGGUAGAAUAGCGGGGCUCAACCCCGUGCCGCGGUUGAAACUGUGUCCGUUGAGUGGGCGAAGGGUAGGCGGAAUGCGUGGUGUAGCGGUGAAAUGCAUAGAUAUCACGCAGAACUCCGAUCGCGAAGGCAGCCUACCGGCGCGCAACUGACGCUCAUGCACGAAAGCGUGGGUAUCGAACAGGAUUAGAUACCCCAGUAGUC
rnacentral:rRNA from 1 species